CAGUUUGUAUUAUAUAUGGGUUCUUUAUGCUUGCCUUUAAAUCCUUCUUAAUUUUCCCUGUGCAGUCCAAGUAAGCAUCGCGAACUGCCAUAAGCAUCGCGAACCACUCGAGUAUCUUCAUUCCCUGUGUAGAACUGUUCAAGAAAAGCACCUGUAAAACCAACAGCGUGGAGGAGCCGGCUUCCCGUGUCAGAGUUGCGUGUACUUGCGGGCUACUUCACCGUCACCAGCCCAUCUGUAGUAUUGUAGGGAUGGACAUAUGGAUUGAGUGGUACCCACCUGAAAGAUACACAUCUCAGCAGCCAAGAACUUCAAUAAAAAUGUAUAUCCCAACUCCUUUUAUAAUCUUGAAUGCUUCUCGGUCAACGUCGGUGUCACUUCCAGUCUUGGAUGCUACCAGGAUGCCAGGUGCAAACUUCAUGGAGGCAUAAUGGCUCUGUACUAGCUUUUCUUGAUGAAUGAAAGCAGUGAUGCUGAUAUGGACUAUCUGAACAAUCCACAUUCAGUUUAAGUGAUGUUACUUUGCUUGAAAUUUUGAGAUUGAACUAUUAGCUUACUAUCAGGUCUGCACCAUUCUAGAUAUCAUCUUGACUUUUAACUUCUCCAAAUGCAACAUUGGAUAACAUAA